rnacentral:rRNA from 1 species
AGAGUUUGAUCCUGGCUCAGGAUGAACGCUAGCGGCAGGCUUAACACAUGCAAGUCGAGGGGCAGCGGGGAGGAAGCUUGCUUUCUCCGCCGGCGACCGGCGCACGGGUGAGUAACACGUAUGCAACCUGCCCCUGUCAGGGGGACAACCCGCCGAAAGGCGGGCUAAACCCGCGUACAUGCCACCGGGGCAUCCCGGAGGCAGGAAAGGCUUCGGCUGGACAGGGAUGGGCAUGCGGCGCAUUAGGCAGUAGGCGGGGUAACGGCCCACCUAACCGACGAUGCGUAGGGGUUCUGAGAGGAAGGUCCCCCACACUGGUACUGAGACACGGACCAGACUCCUACGGGAGGCAGCAGUGAGGAAUAUUGGUCAAUGGUCGGGAGACUGAACCAGCCAAGCCGCGUGAGGGAGGAAGGUACAGAGUAUCGUAAACCUCUUUUGUCAGGGAACAAAGGCGGGGACGUGUCCCCGGAUGAGUGUACCUGAAGAAAAAGCAUCGGCUAACUCCGUGCCAGCAGCCGCGGUAAUACGGAGGAUGCGAGCGUUAUCCGGAUUUAUUGGGUUUAAAGGGUGCGCAGGCGGUCUGUUAAGUCAGCGGUCAAAGCCCGGGGCUCAACCCCGGCCCGCCGUUGAAACUGGCAGUCUCGAGUUGGAGAGAAGUAUGCGGAAUGCGCGGUGUAGCGGUGAAAUGCAUAGAUAUCGCGCAGAACUCCGAUUGCGAAGGCAGCAUGCCGGCUCCACACUGACGCUGAGGCACGAAAGCGUGGGUAUCGAACAGGAUUAGAUACCCUGGUAGUCCACGCAGUAAACGAUGAAUGCUGGCUGUCCGGGGGGACUGACCCCUGGGUGGCGAAGCGAAAGCGAUAAGCAUUCCACCUGGGGAGUACGCCGGCAACGGUGAAACUCAAAGGAAUUGACGGGGGCCCGCACAAGCGGAGGAACAUGUGGUUUAAUUCGAUGAUACGCGAGGAACCUUACCCGGGCUCAAACGGGGAGUGGCGCAGGCAGAGACGCCUGUUUCCCACGGGACACUCCCCGAGGUGCUGCAUGGUUGUCGUCAGCUCGUGCCGUGAGGUGUCGGCUUAAGUGCCAUAACGAGCGCAACCCCCGCGUGCAGUUGCUAACAGUCAACGCUGAGGACUCUGCACGGACUGCCGGCGCAAGCCGCGAGGAAGGCGGGGAUGACGUCAAAUCAGCACGGCCCUUACGUCCGGGGCGACACACGUGUUACAAUGGGUGGUACAGCGGGAAGCCAGGCGGCGACGCCGAGCGGAACCCGAAAUCCACUCUCAGUUCGGAUCGGAGUCUGCAACCCGACUCCGUGAAGCUGGAUUCGCUAGUAAUCGCGCAUCAGCCAUGGCGCGGUGAAUACGUUCCCGGGCCUUGCACUCACCGCCCGUCAAG